GACGAACGCUGGCGGCGUGCUUAACACAUGCAAGUCGAACGGAAAGGCCCUGCUUUUGUGGGGUGCUCGAGUGGCGAACGGGGGAGUAACACGUGAGUAACCUGCCCUUGACUUUGGGAUAACCUCAGGCAACUGGGGCUAAUACCGGAUAGGAGCUCCUGCUGCAUGGUGGGGGUUGGAAAGUUUCGGCGGUUGGGGAUGGAAUCGCGGCUUAUCAGCUUGGUGGUGGGGUGGUGGCUUACCAAGGCUUUGACGGGUAGCCGGCCUGAGAGGGUGACCGGCCACAUUGGGACUGAGAUACGGCCCAGACUCCUACGGGAGGCAGCAGUGGGGAAGAUUGCACAAUGGGCGGAAGCCUGAUGCAGCAACGCCGCGUGCGGGAUGACGGCCUUCGGGUUGUAAACCGCUUUCGCCUGUGACGAAGCGUGAGUGACGGUAAUGGGUAAAGAAGCACCGGCUAACUACGUG
rnacentral:rRNA from 1 species